UACGUAGGGUGCAAGCGUUAAUCGGAAUUACUAGGCGUAAAGCGUGCGCAGGCGGUUUUGUAAGACUGUCGGGAAAUCCCCGGGCUUAACCUGGGAAUGGCGAUGGUGACUGCAAGGCUAGAGUUUGGCAGAGGGGGGUAGAAUUCCACGUGUAGCAGUGAAAUGCGUAGAGAUGUGGAGGAACACCGAUGGCGAAGGCAGCCCCCUGGGUCAAAACUGACGCUCAUGCACGAAAGCGUGGGGAGCAAACAGG
rnacentral:rRNA from 1 species